rnacentral:rRNA from 1 species
UAGGGAAUUUUUCACAAUGAGCGAAAGCUUGAUGGAGCAAUGCCGCGUGAACGAUGAAGGUCUUUAAGAUUGUAAAGUUCUUUUAUUUGGGAAGAAUGACUUUAGCAGGUAAUGGCUAGAGUUUGACUGUACCAUUUUGAAUAAGUGACGACUAACUAUGUGCCAGCAGUCGCGGUAAUACAUAGGUCGCAAGCGUUAUCCGGAUUUAUUGGGCGUAAAGCAAGCGCAGGCGGAUUGAAAAGUCUGGUGUUAAAGGCAGCUGCUUAACAGUUGUAUGCAUUGGAAACUAUUAAUCUAGAGUGUGGUAGGGAGUUUUGGAAUUUCACGUGGAGCGGUGAAAUGCGUAGAUAUAUGAAGGAACACCAGUGGCGAAGGCGAAAACUUAGGCCAUUACUGACGCUUAGGCUUGAAAGUGUGGGGAGCAAAUAGGAUUAGAUACCCUAGUAGUCCACACCGUAACGAUAGAUACUAGCUGUCGGGGCGAUCCCCUCGGUAGUGAAGUUAACACAUUAAGUAUCUCGCCUGGGUAGUACAUUCGCAAGAAU